UUAGAUUAGUAAUAUAAUAUAUAUAUAUAUAUAUAUAUAUAAUUUUGAAAAUUAAAAAUUUUGGCGGUAUUUUAUCUAAUUAGAGGAACUUGUUUUUAAAUUGAUAAUCCUCAUUAAAUCUUACUUAGAGUAGUAAAUUUAUAUACCGUCAUUUUAAAAAUCUUUAAAAAGUUAUAAUUUUUUAAUUAAAUUUUAUUUUAAAAUUUUAGAUCAAGGUUUAGUUUUUAUAUUUAAGUUAAAAUGAGUUACAAUAAAUUUAUUUAAAUGGAUAUUUUUAUGAAAUUUAAUAAUUGAAAGUGGAUUUAUUAGUAAAUUUAUUUAGAGAUUUAAAUUGAUUAUAUAUCUAAAAUAUGC
rnacentral:rRNA from 1 species